UACGUAGGGUGCGAGCGUUGUCCGGAAUUAUUGGGCGUAAAGGGCUCGUAGGCGGUUUGUCGCGUCGGGAGUGAAAACUCAGGGCUUAACCCUGAGCCUGCUUCCGAUACGGGCAGACUAGAGGUAUGCAGGGGAGAACGGAAUUCCUGGUGUAGCGGUGGAAUGCGCGGAUAUCAGGAGGAACACCGGUGGCGAAGGCGGGUCUCUGGGCCGUUACUGACGCUGAGGAGCGAAAGCGUGGGGGAGCGAACAGG
rnacentral:rRNA from 1 species